rnacentral:rRNA from 1 species
GCAAGUCGAACGAGGUCCAUGGAGCUUGCUCCGGAAGACCUAGUGGCGAACGGGGCGUAACACGUUAGAAACCUGUCCCGGACUCUGGGGUAACAGUUGGAAACUACUGCUAAUACCGGAUGCCUUCACAUGGUCGCAUGAUCGAGUGAAGAAAGAUGUAUCGGUUUGGGAGGGUCUCGCGGCCUAUCAGCUAGUUGGAGAGGUAACGGCUCACCAAGGCAUCGACGCGUAGCUGGUCUGAGAGGAUGAUC